AGCUCCAAUAGCGUAUAUUAAAGUUGUUGCAGUUAAAAAGCUCGUAGUUGGAUUUCGGUGCGGGCCGGUCGGUCGGCCGCGAGGUCUGUUACUGACCGGUCUGUUCUUCUUCGCAAAGACUGCGUGUGCUCUUCACUGGGUGUGCGUAGGAUUUGCGACGUUUACUUUGAAAAAAUUAGAGUGUUCAAAGCAGGCUAUCGCUUGAAUACAUGAGCAUGGAAUAAUGGAAUAGGACUUUGGUUCUAUUUUGUUGGUUUCUAGGACCAAAGUAAUGAUUAAGAGGGACAAUUGGGGGCAUCCGUAUUUCGUUGUCAGAGGUGAAAUUCUUGGAUUUGCGAAAGACGAACAACUGCGAAAGCACUUGCCAAGAGUGUUUUCAUUAAUCAAGAACGAAAGUACG
rnacentral:rRNA from 1 species